UACGUAGGGUGCGAGCGUUGUCCGGAAUUAUUGGGCGUAAAGGGCUCGUAGGCGGUCUGUCGCGUCGGGAGUGAAAACUCGGGGCUUAACUCCGAGCCUGCUUCUGAUACGGGCAGACUAGAGGUAUGCAGGGGAGAAUGGAAUUCCUGGUGUAGCGGUGAAAUGCGCAGAUAUCAGGAGGAACACCGGUGGCGAAGGCGGGUCUCUGGGCAGUAACUGACGCUGAGGAGCGAAAGCGUGGGGAGCGAACAGG
rnacentral:rRNA from 1 species